AUACGGAGGAUGCGAGCGUUAUCCGGAUUUAUUGGGUUUAAAGGGUGCGUAGGUGGUGAUUUAAGUCAGCGGUGAAAGUUUGUGGCUCAACCAUAAAAUUGCCGUUGAAACUGGGUUACUUGAGUGUGUUUGAGGUAGGCGGAAUGCGUGGUGUAGCGGUGAAAUGCAUAGAUAUCACGCAGAACUCCGAUUGCGAAGGCAGCUUACUAAACCAUAACUGACACUGAAGCACGAAAGCGUGGGGAUCAAACAGGAUUAGAUACCCUGGUAGUCCACGCAGUAAACGAUGAUUACUAGAAGUUUGCGAUACAAUGUAAGCUCUACAGCGAAAGCGUUAAGUAAUCCACCUGGGGAGUACGCCGGCAACGGUGAAACUCAAAGGAAUUGACGGGGGCCCGCACAAGCGGAGGAACAUGUGGUUUAAUUCGAUGAUACGCGAGGAACCUUACCCGGGUUUGAACGUAGUCUGACCGGAGUGGAAACACUCUUUCUAGCAAUAGCAGAUUACGAGGUGCUGCAUGGUUGUCGUCAGCUCGUGCCGUGAGGUGUCGGCUUAAGUGCCAUAACGAGCGCAACCCUUAUCACUAGUUACUAACAGGUGAAGCUGAGGACUCUGGUGAGACUGCCAGCGUAAGCUGUGAGGAAGGUGGGGAUGACGUCAAAUCAGCACGGCCCUUACAUCCGGGGCGACACACGUGUUACAAUGGCAUGGACAAAGGGCAGCUACCUGGUGACAGGAUGCUAAUCUCCAAACCAUGUCUCAGUUCGGAUCGGAGUCUGCAACUCGACUCCGUGAAGCUGGAUUCGCUAGUAAUCGCGCAUCAGCCAUGGCGCGGUGAAUACGUUCCCGGGCCUUGUACACACCGCCCGUCAAGCCAUGGGAGCCGGGGGUACCUGAAGUCCGUAACCGCAAGGAUCGGCCUAGGGUAAAACUGGUGACUGGGGCU
rnacentral:rRNA from 1 species